GUGCUUGUUCCAACAGCACAUAUAUUAAAAUUAGAACGAUCAGAGAAGAUUAGCACGGCCCCCGCACAAGGAUGACCCACAAAUGUGUGAAGUGUUCCAUAUUUUA